rnacentral:rRNA from 1 species
UACGUAGGGGGCAAGCGUUGUCCGGAUUUAUUGGGUUUAAAGGGUGCGUAGGCGGUCCUAUAAGUCAGUGCUGAAAUAUCCCGGCUUAACCGGGAGGGUGGCAUUGAUACUGUGGGACUUGAGUAAAGUUGAGGUUGGCGGAAUUGACGGUGUAGCGGUGAAAUGCUUAGAUAUCGUCAAGAACACCUAUUGCGAAGGCAGCUAACUAAGCUUUAACUGACGCUGAGGCACGAAAGUGUGGGGAUCAAACAGG